GGCCUUGUAGUGUAGUGGUUCAGCACGUAGGAUUUUGAUUCCUGGGACCCAGGUUCGAACCCUGGCUAGGCCU